rnacentral:lncRNA from 1 species
GCUUGAUCUCUUCGACUGGAUUUUCCUCGUUUUGAAGGAGGAGAUCCCAACGAAUGGAUCCUAAAGGCACAUCAAUUCUUUAAAUAUUUCGACACUCCAGAAGCUCACAAGCUGGGAAUUGCUUCCUUUCACAUGGAGGGGAAGGCGCUGACAUGGUACUCUUGAUGGAAAGAGUCAAAUCCGGUGGUCACUUGGGAUGGAUUCUUGUUGGCUCACCGCACCAGAUUUGGACCUUCAGCAUAUGAAGAUCCAGUUUGGGCAUUUACCAAGCCGAGGCAGACAGGGAGCGUUGAGGAAUACCAAACUGCCUUCGAACUCCUGUCCAACAAAGUAAGUGGGGUAAGUGAAGAUUUUCGCAUAAGUACUUUCCUAAGUGGCUUAAAAGAUGAAUUACGAAUUAUUGUCACCAUGUUCAAACCAAAUACCCUCUCGGUUGCCUUUGGUUUAGCACGAUUACAAGAAGAGGAGGUUUUCCUGAAGCAAUUUCACCACCAAAAUCACCCAGCCCAAAACAGUUCCCACGCAGCCUCAUUCAAGCUUUCCCAUCUCAGAUUACCAGCACAAAAUCCCACACCCAGAUUACUAGCCCCUAACCCAGUACCAAGACUUCCAGCCCCACCAACCCUAAGACUUAACCCACCAUUCCACAAAAAAACCCCUUACCCAAUUAAACGCACAAGUCCCAAUCAAAUGCAAGAAAGAAGAGAGAAGGGCCUAUGCUAUUUCUGUGAUGAAAAAUACCAUCAAGGACACAAUGUAGCAGACCCAAGCUGUACCUAUUAGAGGGACUAGAAUUUGAAGAGGAAGAAGAGAAAUUGGAGGCAGAAGAGACCCUUAACCAGCCAAAUACAGCAAUUAUACUUGCGGGGCAACAAGUUGAAUUAUUGGGCAUAUCAUUACAUGCUAUUGCAGGAGUACCUUCGCCCAAGACUAUGAGGUUAGUUGGCAAAAUUGGCACUUGUUCAGUUAUUGUUCUUGUUGAUACUGGAAGCACGCAUAGCUUUAUUGAUGUAAAUGUAGCGAGGAGGGCAAACCUACCAGUGGAAGAAGGCCACCUGGCAGUCCAAGUUGCUAAUGGAAAAUAAGACCAAUGUUAUUGGGUGAAGUGCAAUCAUCUGGGAAAAGAUUCCUUGCCUUGGUUGCUGUAAGGCAUUUCUCUUAAAGAUGCAAAGUUGUAAUAUUCUAGCCGAUCUAUUUUUAUUAACCCUAGGGGGUGUGAUGUUGUACUAGGGGUAGAUUGGUUGAGAAGUUUGGGGACUAUUCAGUGGAACUUUGCUAAUUUAAGUACGAGUUUCUUUGUGGAAGGGAAACACAUAUUUCUACAGGGUCUAAAGCUGCCCGAGAAGGCUAUAGAGGAGGAACACAGCUUAAGCAAGGCUGCUAUAACAGAAGGAAGAGGACUAUGGCUGCAGAUAAUGGAGAUCAGUGACCAACCAGGAAAGGCACCAAUAGAGCCAGCCAUACAAACUGUUUUGAAUGAUUUCAACAGAGUGUUUGCUGAACCCAGUGGACUCCCACCUCCCAGGAAUCACAAUCACCGAAUCCAGCUCCAGGAUGCAGCCAAGCCAACAUGUGUUAAGACCUUAGCGAUACCCUUAUUACCAAAAGGAAGAAAUUGAAAGAUUCGUCAAGGAGAUGCUGCAGGCAGGGAUCAUACAACCAAGCCAAAGUCCUUAUUCUUCACUAGUCCUAUUGAUAAGGAAAGCAGACGGAAGUUGGCGCAUGUGCAUUGAUUACCGGGCUCUAAACAAGGAUACUAUCAAAGAUAAGUUUCCCAUCCGUAACAUAGAUGAAUUAUUGGAUGAGCUUAAUGGUACUGAAUUGUUUUCUAAACUUGAUCUACGAUCAGGCUACCACCAAAUCAGGAUGAAGCCAAAAGAUAUGCCCAAAACUGCUUUUUAUACACGAGGGGCAUUAUGAGUUCUUAGUGAUGCCUUUUGGGCUCACUAAUGCUCCGUCAACCUUCCAAGGGCUGAUGAAUCAGAUAUUCAGGCCAUAUCUAAGGAAGUUUGUAUUGGUUUUUUUUUUACGAUAUACUUGUGUACAGUAAAUCUAUGGAGGAGCAUGUAGGGCAUCUCAAGGCUGUCCUAGAAGUUUUGAGACAACAUCAGCUGUAUGCAAAGGCUUCCAAAUGUGUCUUUGGAUGCCAAGAAGUGGAGUACUUAGGUCAUGUUAUUUCCAAGGAAGGGAUAAGGCAAAUCCAUUGAAGAUUACAGUUAUAAUAGAAUGGCCUGAACCUAAAAAUCCUAAAGCUCUAAGGGGAUUUUUGGGUCUAACAGGUUAUUACAGGAAGUUUGUGAGAGGAUAUGGAAGUAUUGCAGCCCCCUUGACUGCCCUACUCAAGAAGAAUUCUUUUCAGUGGAGUGAAGAGGCCAGUCAAGCUUUUGUGAUAGCCAUGGUGACUCCUCUUUGUCCUUGGAUUACCAGACUUCUCAAAGAUGUUCGUGGUGGAGUGUGAUGCCUUUGGAAAUGGGUUGGGAGCUGUUCUCAUGCAAGAAAGGUGGCCUAUAGCUUACCUAAGUCAAGCAUUGAAAGGUAAAAAUUUAUUUUUAUCCACUUAUGAAAAAGAGUUACUAGCCCUGGUACUAGCCAUUAGAAAAUGGAGGCGCUAUCUAUUGGGGAACAGGUUCAAAGUCAGGACUGAUCAGCAAGCCCUAAAGCAUCUUUUGGAGCAAAAGAUUGGAAUACCAUUUCAGCAAAAGUGGAUUUCAAAACUGUUAGGUUUUGAUUUCAAUAUGAAAUAUCGUAGUGGAAAAGGAAACAAGGCAGCAGAUGCUCUCUCCAGGUUGCCCAAUGGACCAGAACCAGAAGUGAACCAUGCUGACUAUGAAGAAACCAAAGCCAUCAGUAUGGUGACAUUCAACUGGUGGGAUGGGCUCCGACAAGUGUACCAACAAGAUCCUCAGUUAAGGCAGUUGCCGGAUCACCAUCAACAAGGAAAUCUUGACCCUCUCAAGUACCAACUCAGAGGAGGGUUCUUAUUUUUCCGAGGGAGGUUGCACUUGGGAACCUUAGAGGAACAACAGGAGCAGAUCAUGCAGCAAUUCUACAGCAGCCCCAUGGUGGGGGGGGGGGGGGGGGCANNNNNNNNNNNNNNNNNNNNNNNNNNNNNNNNNNNNNNNNNNNNNNNNNNNNNNNNNNNNNNNNNNNNNNNNNNNNNNNNNNNNNNNNNNNNNNNNNNNNNNNNNNNNNNNNNNNNNNNNNNNNNNNNNNNNNNNNNNNNNNNNNNNNNNNNNNNNNNNNNNNNNNNNNNNNNNNNNNNNNNNNNNNNNNNNNNNNNNNNNNNNNNNNNNNNNNNNNNNNNNNNNGGGGGGGGGACACACCGGAUCACUAAAGACCCACUCCAGGAUCAAAAGGGAUUUUUUUUGGCAAGGUAUGAGGAAGGAUAUCAGGAAAUACAUAAGAGAAUGCGAGGUAUGCCAGAGGAACAAAACAGAGAACCUUAAACCAACAGGGACCCUAUAGCCUCUACCAAUUCCAAACAAAGCAUGGGUGGAUAUAAGUAUGGAUUUUAUAGAAGGGUUGCCUCUAUCUAAAGGAUACAGUGUUAUCAUGGUAAUAGUGGACAGAUUCAGCAAAUACAGUCAUUUCAUACCACUGGCGCAUCCAUACACAGCAGCAACAGUUGCAAAGGCAUUCAUGGAAAAUAUAUUUAAGUUACCACAAAAGCAUAGUCAGUGAUAGAGAUGCGAUACUCACAAGCCACUUUUGGAAAGAAAUUUUCAAAUUAAGUGGGACUAAGCUAUUAAUGAGCUCUGCAUACCAUCCUCAAACCGACGGUCAGACGGAAGUGAUGAAUAAGUGGUUAGAAGGGUACCUCAGAUGUUUCACAAGUGAUAGACCAAAAGAUUGGGCUAAUUGGAUAGCCCUGGCUGAAUGGACAUCUAAUACCUCACAGCAUUCCUCUACGGGGUUUACCCCAUUUGAGGUAGUGUAUGGGCACGAUCCCUCCUCCCCUUUGAGCCUGGAACCACAACAGUAUAAGCGGUGGAAGAAGAAAUGAGAAGACGAGAUUUCAUCCUUACCCUGGCACGCGAAAACCUGCAAGAGGCUCAAACACGAAUAAAGUAUUACGCUGAUAAAAGGAGGAUAGAAAGGGAAUACAGUGUAGGGGAUUGGGUUUAUCUGAGGCUAAAACCCUACAGACAGAUGACUGCUGCAGUGAGGAGAAGCUUGAAGCUUUCACCCAGGUAUUUCGGACCCUUCUAGAUCAUUCAAAAAAUUGGGAAAGCAGCUUACAAGUUAGAUCUAGUUAAAUGAUCUUAUUAAUUACUAGCCCAUAGCUUGAGGACUUAAGUGAAGAGUUAAUUUAAAAGUUAAAUAAAAUUAUAUGUAAAUAUGUCAAUUAGUCAUAAUUAAAGAUGAUUUAUUUAACCACAUGCACCAUUCACCACAUUUUAAGCAAAGUAAUUGCUUGACCACAUAAAUAAAAGUAAUUGAUUUGAUCAUGUGCAUUAUUUACACCAAAAUUCAAGCCAAGUCAAUUGAUUUGAUCACGUGAUUAAAUUUAUUGAUUUGAUGAUUUUCAAGACAAUGCAUCAAUUAUGUUUUGACCAUACCCUAACAUGUGGCCAUUUUCUCUCAACUUUCUAUAUAUGGUCCAAAAACUUGCACUAUAAAUAGGAGUUAAACUCAACAUUAGACUUAUGCUCACCAACUAUUCACACACUCUCUC